CAGCAGCCGCGGUAAUACGUAGGUGGCAAGCGUUGUCCGGAAUUAUUGGGCGUAAAGGGCUCGCAGGCGGUUUCUUAAGUCUGAUGUGGAAGCCCCCGGCUCAACCGGGGAGGGUCAUUGGAAACUGGGAAACUUGAGUGCAGAAGAGGAGAGUGGAAUUCCACGUGUAGCGGUGAAAUGCGUAGAGAUGUGGAGGAACACCAGCGGCGAAGGCGACUCUCUGGUCUGUAACUGACGCUGAGGAGCGAAAGCGUGGGGAGCGAACAGGAUUAGAUACCCCAGUAGUCCCUGUCUCUUAUAA
rnacentral:rRNA from 1 species